rnacentral:lncRNA from 1 species
ACCUACAUUCCGACAUUAAAAUCUUAGUGAAAUAAAUUCAACCAUGCAGUUGCAAUUGGGGCCAUAUUCGAGUUGCGAUCUGUCUACACUCAGAGUUACAAAUACUAUAGACCACCUGCUUGCUAAUUUAAUGCGACUAGGAAGCAGAUGGUCUAUAGUAUUUGCAACUCAGAUUGUAGACUGAUUGCAACUCGAACCAUUGGCCAGUAGCAACUACAGGGUCGCAUUUAUUGCACCGAGAUAGUACUGUCAGGAAGUAGGUG